rnacentral:misc_RNA from 1 species
GAAAGAAAUGGCGCUCCACCCUGCAGGACCUCGACCCUCUUUUCUCCCUCUCCGCUGUUUUCUUGGCGGACCGACGUUUCACGCCGCUCCCUCCUACUGCCUACCACCUUAACUCUUGUUUUAACACCGGUCAUCUGAUAAUAAAACCAAUAACUUCUAAACUAUUAACAACGGAUCUCUUGGUUCUGGCAUCGAUGAAAAAAGCAGCAAAUAAUGAGAUGGGUGCUCCCCCCCACCUCCACCUUUCUUUCCUU